rnacentral:rRNA from 1 species
AUUUAAAUGAGAGUUUGAUCCUGGCUCAGGACGAACGCUGGCGGCGUGCCUAAUACAUGCAAGUCGAGCGAUGAUUAAAGAUAGCUUGCUAU